GAAUAUUGGACAAUGGAGGGAACCCUGAUCCAGCCAUCCCGCGUGUGUUAAGAAGGCCCUUUGGUUGUAUAGCACUUUAAGUGAGGAGGAGGAGCUCUUGUUUAAUACACAAGAUGAUUGGACGUUACUCGCAGAAGAAGAACGGGCUGACUCUGUGCCAGCAGCCGCGGUAAUACAGAGGGUGCAAGCGUUAAUCGGAUUUACUGGGCGUAAAGCGCGCGUAGGUGGCCAAUUAAGUCAAAUGUGAAAUCCCCGAGCUUAACUUGGGAAUUGCAUUCGAUACUGGUUGGCUAGAGUAUGGGAGAGGAUGGUAGAAUUCCAGGUGUAGCGGUGAAAUGCGUAGAGAUCUGGAGGAAUACCGAUGGCGAAGGCAGCCAUCUGGCCUAAUACUGACACUGAGGUGCGAAAGCAUGGGGAGCAAACA
rnacentral:rRNA from 1 species